AUUGAACGCUGGCGGCAGGCUUAACACAUGCAAGUCGAGCGGAGUGAUGGUGCUUGCACUAUCACUUAGCGGCGGACGGGUGAGUAAUGCUUAGGAAUCUGCCAUUUAGUGGGGGACAACAUUCCGAAAGGAAUGCUAAUACCGCAUACGUCCUACGGGAGAAAGCAGGGGAUCUUCGGACCUUGCGCUAAAUGAUGAGCCUAAGUCGGAUUAGCUAGUUGGUGGAGUAAAGGCCUACCAAGGCGACGAUCUGUAGCGGGUCUGAGCAGAUGAUCCGCCACACUGGGACUGAGACACGGCCCAGACUCCUACGGGAGGCAGCAGGGGGGAAUAUUGGACAAUGGGCGGAAGCCUGAUCCAGCCAUGCCGCGUGUGUGAAGAAGGCCUUUUGGUUGUAAAGCACAUUAAGCGAGGAGGAGGCUCUCCUAGUUAAUACCUAGGAAGAGUGGACGUUACUCGCAGAAUAAGCACCGGCUAACUCUGUGCCAGCCGCCGCCGUAAGAC
rnacentral:rRNA from 1 species